UCACUUGAAUAUGAGAUUCAAACUUCUCAAAGUGGAGUUGUCAGUUCGUCAAUUAUUAUUUUCUCAAUGAAAUUCAAUCCUAAUGACACCAUCCGUAACACCAUCCGUGACACCCGUGACACCAACACCAUCCAUAGCGGUCGUGGUCGCGGUCGCCCUCGCCCUCGCCCUCUGAGGUUUCUAUAUACCGGUCUCUGUAUAGCCUCUGCUCCUCCUCCAGCAUCUCCCGUCAAUGAAGACCAAGACAGGGGUGAUAGGAAGAUGAAGGGAAAAUGGGAGAGUAAUUGACUGACUUGUCUGAUGGCAGGCAACAA